CUUAGCACAGCCUUGCCAUGACUUUCAAGCUAAUUUCAUCACACACAGUAUUGCCCUUGACUAGCAUAAAACUGCUAAACCAGGAGAAUGCUAAUUUUUUUAAAUUUACUCUUCCCCAUCUUAUGCUGUGAGCAGUUUUUGCACCCAGGGCAGAAGGAAACACAGCAGGAAUAGGAUAUUUUUUCUCUCCUGCAGCAAGAAGUGUUGGCAGAGCUGCAUGUUGAGAGGCUGUUGCUGUGGCUGGAGCUGGGUUUACUCAUGGUGCACUUUCUUCUCCUGUGCGUCUUAUAGUUUAUGCUUUAUCUGUGCUGGCUGCAGGGGAUCUUCUAGGGAGGAAAGUUUAUGACUUUGGAAAAAAAAUUCAUAUCCCAGAAGUGUAAUUUGUUGCACUGCAUGUUUGCCUGUGUCUAUUACAUUUGCUGGGUCAGCAUACAUUUUUGCAGGAAAUAUUAUCAUAGGUCUCACCCUGAGAAUCUUGCAGCAUCCUUUAGGAGGGCUGACUGGCAUGUGGGUCUUGCUCUGAAAAGGGAGAUAAAAUUAUGUGCUUUGCUCACCAUCGGUUUUUGUUUGAAAGUGACUAAUACAGAGUGUUCCUGUUACUGCACUAAGAAAAUGUGUGAAAGUGCAAAAUGGAGUAAAAGACGUAAGCAAGGCAGCUCUGGGAGCUGUCCCAUGGCUGCACUUUUUAGACGUGCCCUGCACAAAACCCAGCCCAAAUCCCACUCUGGUCAAGAGUGUGCCCCCCGUGGCCAGGGGCAGCUUUGUGUGGGUUUCACGAAGCAAAGUGAGUCACGGUUGUAAGAGCAGCAAGCAGCGUGGUGGCCAGCUUGGCAGCGUGCCCAUCACAAGGUGUCCAGGUGCCAAUCAGAUAGGUUUCACACCUUACGGAUCCACGUCCGUUAUCGCUCCUGCUGUUGUCUCAUCUAUGCUGAAAGGGCAGGAAGCACAUGUCUCAGGAUAAUGCCUGAACCUUCCGGGGACAACAGUAGACUUUGGGAUCAGGACACACCUUUUCCUUCAGCAGCAUUGUGGCUGCCUACCAGCUGAAACGGUAUGUCUGCAUCUGGAUGAGAUGGAGAGCAAUUUACAAAUUUCAUCCACGUGAUGGAUGUGGAGGAGAAGCCAUAGAAGAUGACACCUAACCAGGAACAAGCUGCAGUUUUGUUGUGAAUAUCCAGGAAGUCUCUGUGGUGCAGAUGUGACAGCAACAGCAAAACGUAUUUCAACGUCCCAUCCCGUGAAGAAGCUGCCGUUACAGAGCCCUGUGAAAGGAGGAAGAUUGGAAAUCUCAUCUGCAGCCAAAUCAAGCUGCCAUGCAUCAUCAUCACUGGUGGAAUGUUCAAGAAAAGUGUAGAUGUGGCACUGAGGGACAUGGGACAAAAUAACUGCACCUGUCUCUGGUGUGGAGUGCUACUCUUUGACUCCUCCAUAGAAGCAAAGCAGAUCUGGGCUAUAGACAAAGAUGCAAAAUCAAGAUUGGAUGGAGUGUGAACUUGGGAGUGAACUCUCUGGAAAGUACAUGAGAGGGAUCAGAGCUCAUUGCACGUGAACUGAACAAUGAAGGAAUAAAACGACUUACAAGCUACAUCAGUCCUGGAAAACAAAAAGGAUUUUACAGAAGAUUUCCUCUUGUUUGAGUUGCGAUAUCCAACCGUGAUGGAUAAUCACUUCUUAUCCUGGUUGUUUUGUUGCUUCUGAGACAUGGAGUUUUCACUUUAAGGCUGGUUAAAGAGUAAAAGAAGGGGAUGCAGCUGUGUCUAAAUUAACCCUUAGCUCAGCAGUAGGGUUUUCUCAGGCUGCUUGGAGAAGAAAAACAUAGUUAAAACAACAGAAAGUUUUAACUUCUGCCUCGAGGGCUGGAAACCUAUUUUUCAGACAGCUUAACUUCUGUCAUUCUCAGUGCGUCUCUUCAAAUUAGCUUCAGACAGUGAAAUAAAUAGGAAAUAUUGCCCAAGAGUCCAUAGUUUUGUCAGAAAGGACUUGGAAAAAAGUAGAGGGGAAGAAAAAGAAAGGCUGAAUCAUGAAGGCCUGCCACGUCUUUUUGCUGAUGUGAAAUCAAAACUGACUGAGGUUAUGGUCAUUCAAUUAUUACAAACCAGUGUAUGAGAAAACCAAUCGUUUGAUGAUGCUGGGUUAAAUGUUCUGGACAAGACGUGAUGUGAACUUCCUCACGUUUGAAUUCUAAGUUUCAGCAAAGGAAAAAUAAUGCCAAGUAAACCUGGUAAAAAGAUCUCAUCAUGUUGUAAGAUGUUAAUGUCGAUUCUAAAGAGUUGAGCAGAGUGAGGGAUGGGAGAGGAGGGCACAACUAAGAAAUGGCACUGUUUUUUUUCCAUAAGCAUCCCUAACUGAUUCCUUUCAGAUACUGAUAGCCCUAUAUCUUCACUGCUUCAGGACGCAGGGCAGCAAGGUGCCUCACAAGAGAUGUCCAUAAAGUGUCCAGUCCGGGAGUCUGAAAAAUUUUUGGUGCAACUUUGAAGCUCUGUUGACCAGGACAUGUAUUAAGGAUUGCAAAGCUGUGUACGUAGGGUAUCAUCCAAGCCCUGAUCAAUCCACAAUGUCUUUCAGCUGCAGAAACUCACACAUCUUAACCAUGACUCCAUUAAGCGUUGUUCCUUGGGCAGCAAGAGCUAUUUGGCCCAAGUAAAAGGCAAAUAUCUUCCUUUCUGGAUGUUUCUCAGUGGCCGCCUGGUAGUCAGGCACCCAUCUGCGGCACAGAAGCAGCUCCUAAUUUAAUGUGGUAGUUAAGGAGAAUAAUUUCUGAUUCCAGCUCUUUACAAGCAGCAGCAUGACAUGACUCCCUGCCACCAGUCUGCUUCCAUUUUCACCCUUGUAGUUUAUUUCUUUCCCUCAUUCACGUGCUUUCCUAAGAUGUCUUUUGUCCUGCGUAUUUAAAUUACAUGUUGACUCUUUGUAUUCUCUGAGUGGAUGAAUUAAACCAUUAUCAACAGGAGGAGCUUAUCUCCUCCUUUAUUCCACUUGGAGUUUGCUAAUACAUCCAUUACCUUUAUAUCACAGAAAACAAUUAACAGAGGUGUUUGUUGAUAAAAGAAUCAGUUUAUCUCGAUUGAAUGCUUGUGUCUCACAGCCCACAGCUCACCCUGCACGCCUCAGGUCCAGAGUCCUGCAGCAGCUCCAAUAUCCUUUAGAAUGAAUGCGAAAGGAUUCUCAUAAGAUAUUUCAUUUCAAAGAUUAUUCUUGGUUGGAAAGCAUCUCUCACUGUUGAUUUUCCUCCAAAUAUUAAACAACAGCAACAACAACAAAAGCCUGAAAGGAGCAUGGAAGUGCACAGACAAAAGAGAUCUGAUUCACGGCUUUUUCUAAUUUACACCUCCAGGAUAUUUGCUGAGAAACCCAGCGCAGUUCACAGCUCUCCCUGGCAUGUGAUAUAACUAUGAUUAACAUUUCUAAAUAUAGUAAUAACGUGGAGGAGGAUGGUAAUAAUGGUGGCCACUGAUUCCCACCCAAUAGAAAGUGCAGUCGGGAAGGGAACUGACUGUAGCAGGAUGAACCACGUGCUGGAUUUAUUCCCUCUCAGAGGAAAAAUAGGUCAAUAUUCUAUUAUAGUCCAAAUAUUAUUAACUUUCUUUCCCUAUAUAUUUUGGUAUUUCAUUGGAAAGCCCAGUGAAAAUCAAAAUCAAUCUUUGGAAAAAUGACCGUCUCAGCUGUAAUUUUAAGUUUCCUCAAUCUAUAUUUGCUUCUUUGCUUUUCACCAGGGUCCCUCGCGUGUGCAUGCUUCGUUUUCUCAACAGAAAGAAAAAGAGAAAACAGAAGCUGAGGAGGUAUUCAAGAACUGUGGAGAUGUGGCACUGAGGGACAUGAAGAGAAACUGCAGCAAAGGAGAGAAAUUUCUUCCAUCUGUGGCCAAGGUUAAGGCAACCUGUAGGAAAGAAUGAAAACGACGCAGAGAAAUGAGCACCUCAUUUCAGCAAGGUCCGAACCGCUGUCUGCAACGUUUUGGACGAUCCAGCGCGUCUCCUGGUUUUAUUUCGUUCUGUUUUUCGUUACAAGAGGUGUUUCUGUCAAAACCAAAACUGGAGGAGCUGAGCCUAUUAGUCCAUGGCAUGUCUUUCUCUGCCGUACCCAAAGCCGCAGCGGUGAUUUCCCUCUCACUGGCUCUGGGGUGAACCGGGUGUACGGGCUGGGGAGGUCCAGCACUGGAAAUGCUGGUAGGAAGCUGGGCUGAGAGGAAACCCAUUCCUUAUGGGGUGUUGCAUGAACCUGGAGCUCUAUAGUACCCCACCGCAGAGAUUGAGGGCUGGGAAUAAUCAGCACGUGUCAAAAAGUCCGUAAGAAGCUUCAGCUACUUCUUGAAUUUUGGGGCUAAUGGUCAGUGCCAUGAAUAGAUGGGAAACAAAUAUUGCUGCAAACAUGAACUCAUUCCAGAGAGCAGCUCUUCUUUCCCCAGCACUCUUGUGGAAAUCUAUUGCUCCUCACUGAAAAAUAAAGCUGUGAAUGCAUUACUAAAAAGCAGGACAAUCAAUGUCUUAACCCCUUCAUUUCAACAUUUCAGAGCAGAACUUUUAGGAUGAAGCAUACUAAUUGUUGCACUGAUAUGUGACAAUAGCUAUCAAGGUUAAGUGUUUGAAAGAUCAAUCUACUACAGAGGCAAUUAAUUAUAAGCAAAAAAUGGAGGCAAGAGGGAAGAGAGAAAUGGAACAGCUGGAAUAAGUGGCAGAAAGAGAGGUGGAGGAAGAAAUGAAACGGAAAAACACAAAACAUGUUUGCUGUAGAGAGAACAAGGAGAAAAGUAUGGACGUGGGUUCUUUGGAAAUGUUCUUGCUGACAAGAACCUGGACUUUUGAUUCACCAUCACUUCUUUCUUCUAAAGUAUCUGCUAUUUACUUGCAGUCUCAAUAUUUCCCAUGAUUUUCCUCCUGAGGAGACUUCGUUCCCUGCCCUUCCCCAGCUGUGUGGGACAAGAGCCACAACAUCUAGAGUUUACAGAAAGGGAAUGAUAACUCCAGAUCCAUAACAGAUAUCAACGAUGAUAUACACAAUUUGAGAAGCACAUUUUCAUGUUUUUAUGUUUCGGGGGUUGUUUUUUUCACCCUGUCAAUCAUCUUCUCUUUGAGAUCCUCGAGGGAGGACAAAUGGGAACUCCAGGUAGGUGGCCGGCAGUGUCUGGAAAUGGCUAGUGCAAGAAUAAUGGGAGCCUUGAGAGCCUCUGUACCUGUACCAUUCAUGGAGUUAAUUGUUAGAUUGUGGAUAUGGUUUGUCCAGAACUGUUCCACAGGAAUCCUCACCAGCCCAGAUCUGCACAAUGACGUUUUCAGGCAGAUUGGUUUUGGAGAGGGAAUGUCAGACACCUCCAACUGUUGUUUGAAAAUUAAGCGUGGUGUGAAAGCUAUAGGUAAAAAGGCAGAAUGAACCGCUGGGAUAUAUCCCCCAAAGGAAGAAAAUCCUGUCCAGAUGAAGAGGUCACUUCAUUCAUAAGCCCCAGGCCCUGGGUGGAUAAUAACCCCUCUCUUUGAGUAUCAUCAAGAGAAUAAAAGACAAAAGCGCUGUUUGCCAUUUGUUUCCAAAUAAAUGCAGUUUUAUCAUGCAUGACAUCUUCGCCUCCACCCAACUGACAGAUCUCAGAGUGCAGUUUCAGGGCACUGUCCCCUUGUGAGCAUUGGUUCCAGGUGUACGAGGGGUUCUGCUUCAGUUCCUCCAGGUAGAACAUGGGGCUGUUCAGCAGAACAGUUGCUGCUUUGUAAUUAGUGCUACUGUUUCGUGGCCAGCAAAGUCCUCUGUAACA
ensembl:lncRNA